ensembl:lincRNA 1700092E19Rik RIKEN cDNA 1700092E19 gene
GUCGCUGUGGGAGAGUGUAGCUGUAAUAGAAGCAGGGGCCCAGGGGGCAUACCUCUUAGGCAGAAGUCACCACCUACUGGGUCACCAGGGUUCAAGGCUUGUACUCAACCUGAGGCCAGGCUGUCUAUGCACAGCUCACCACCCCACAAAUUCCCUUAACACCCAUUCCUUUUCUUGCCCUCCACUGAUUUAUUGUCUUAUAGUUUCAAACACCCAUGGAGAUGAGGAUGAUACCUCCUCCCACUACUAAGAAAACCCAACUAAAGAAGAAUUUGUACCCCAACAAGACCCGUCUAAAUGAAGAAAUGGGAAUGAUGGCAAAACAGGUUCAUGACAAUCUCCCCCAAGAGAGGACUCCAGGAGUGUUUCAGCUCGAGGUAGAGGGGCCAUGUUCUAUGAUAUCAAAUCACAGGUCCUGAUGGUCUUCUUCUCAAAGUGUGGUUUCAGGACCUGCAGCAUCAGCCACCAGGAAGGAACUGAAUAUAAUUCUCUGACCCCCAUCCUGGGCACAGAGAAACAAAACUACUUGGAAGAAGCAAGCUGAAUUCAUAACAGCACAAGACUCCUUCUGCAGUUCAGCAAAUCGUGUGUGGUGUACCAGCUCAGCGAGUUCUCAGCCUCACAAUCUCCUCCAUGCCACCCUUCAUCU